UACGAAGGGUGCAAGCGUUACUCGGAAUUACUGGGCUUAAAGGGCGCGUAGGCGGCCUGACAAGUUGGGUGUGAAAUACCUCGGCUCAACCGAGGAACAGCGCUCAAAACUGUUAGGCUUGAGGGAGAUAGAGGUGAGCGGAACUUAAGGUGGAGCGGUGAAAUGCGUUGAUAUCUUAAGGAACACCCGUGGCGAAAGCGGCUCACUGGAUCUCUUCUGACGCUGAUGCACGAAAGCUAGGGGAGCAAACGGG
rnacentral:rRNA from 1 species